CAGCCGCCGCGGGAAUACGAAGGGGGCUAGCGUUGUUCGGAAUCACUGGGCGUAAAGCGCACGUAGGCGGAUUUUUAAGUCAGGGGUGAAAUCCCGGGGCUCAACCCCGGAACUGCCUUUGAAACUAGGUGACUAGAAUCUUGGAGAGGUCAGUGGAAUUCCGAGUGUAGAGGUGAAAUUCGUAGAUAUUCGGAAGAACACCAGUGGCGAAGGCGACUGACUGGACAAGUAUUGACGCUGAGGUGCGAAAGCGUGGGGAGCAAACAGGAUUAGAUACCCGGUAGUCCCUGUCUCUUAUACA
rnacentral:rRNA from 1 species